AACAAUUUUCGGUUCCAUUGCCAGAUAUUGGCAGGUUUUAAAGGCGGGGUGUCCGAUUUCCGAAUUACGCUUGUUUAGACAAAGUCGGGCCGAGUACCAAAACAACCUUGUAGCCAAUCAGCAGUAAGGUGUACAGUGCACAGGAUGGACAUUAGUCGAGCUGAGCGCUGAUGAAAGCGAAAGAUGGGGGUAGGGGUGUGUCUGUUUUGGUGAUUUGAACAUCAACAACGCCUAAGAGAAAUCGGACACCCCGCCUUUAAGCAAAAACAUAUUGGUUUGAUCUUUUUUUUCAGAAAAAAAAACGUAAUGGGCUUAAGCCCAGAAUGACUUAAAGGGGUCAUAUGGCGCGUAUAUGUGUUUUCUGUGUCUUUGGUGUGUUAUAAGUUGCCCAUGCAUGUAUUAGACACGUAAAACUGCAAAAAUGAAAGUUUUGGAACCUGAUGUUCUAAAUAUGGUAAGAGGCGUUACAUUUCCGUCACACGCUUGCAGUAUUCGACCAAUCACUACGCACUGGUUAACUGGCCAAUCAUAGCACACCUCGCUUUUCAGAGCCAUGAGCUUUGUAAAAAAACAUGCACGGUAUGUGGAAAAUACAGCGUUUUUAAACCUUAAAUCGUGUAUACACAUUGCAUUACAUCUAAAACAAAUGAUAAUAUUCGUUUUAGCCAUGUCAUAUGACCCCUUUAAAUGUUAAAGGUCUCUUGAUCGAAAACAACUUACACCAACAUAUCUUAAAAUAUAUCACUUGUGAUUGUUUUGUCUCAAGAUGCACAGGUUUUUUUUCACAAGUUUUUUUUGUAAAGUAUGUUCUUUGUUUUGCUUAAAUAUCCUAAUUUAAGUAAGGCCUAGUCUUGUCUUAAGCUAAUCACUGUCUAGAAAACUGUCCCAAAAUGGGCUAUAUUAUAUGGAAUACGGACGAGGAUAUAUGGACUUUCUCUGUUGCUCAAAUUCUGAUUUGUAUCAUGGGGAAAACUCAUAUGUGACCCUGGACCACAAAACCAGUCAUAAGUAGCAUGGGUAUAUUUGUAUCAAUAGCCAAAAAUCAUUAGGAUAUUAAGUAAAGAUCAUGUUACAUAAAGAUAUUUCCUACCAUAAGCAUAUCGAAACUGUCUUUUGGUGAGUGGAUGCGGCAAAAUCAUAACAAAAAUGGCCAGAAACACACCUACAAACAUCUGCCCACUCUUUAUGAAAUUACCCACUCAAGUUUGGUAUCUAUGUAAAGCUUAGCAUUUUAUCUUUCAGGUUCAUCUACUCUGCACAACGUCAUGUCAGCGACUCUGUGUUCAGCUCUGACACCUACAGGAGUAUCUACACUGUCACACACUGCUUCACAUACUACGACUGACAACCACUACACACUAGGAAGAAAGCGAGGGUGUCCAUAACACAUUAUAUUACUAUAGCUACUAUAAGUAAGCUUGACCAUCCCAGAAAAGUGUAGAUAGUGUGGAAUACCAAGCCAAACUAACUAACAACAAACAAACCAUAACAAUACACGGCGACAUUGAUUCAAGUUUGUCGAGCAAUGGAAGAUGAGGACAAGUCACAUGCAUUUUCUCUUGGUGACACUGAUGGGUGUGUGUGGUACUCUCAUACCUUCUCUUUAUCUGACAAAAGGCUGUCCACGAGUGUCCUCAGAUAAUUCAGCUGCUCUGGCACAUGAUCAGCUGCUCUACACGGGCCUCCAGACUCUCAUGUCUGUCUCUCAGUCUGCCCACCUCCAUCAGAGCCUCUACCGUCUCCGGGUACUGCUCAGCCCCGAUGCUGACCCGGGACAGC